rnacentral:rRNA from 1 species
AUGGAUUUCCCAUCAUUCGACGGAGAAAAUCCACAAUUCUGGAAAACUAGGUGUGAAAAAUAUUUUGAUGUGUACGGGGUCGUUCCGGAGCUAUGGGUUCGGGUAGCCACUCUCAAUUUCACCGGGAACGCAGCUCGAUGGCUGCAACUCCACGAAUCACAGAUUAACUCCUUCACUUGGGAGUCGCUUUGCUCCUCCUUGUGCUCCAAAUUUGGUAGAGAGCAAUAUCAAGCACAUCUUCGGCAGUUCAAUUCUCUGAGACAAACGGGUACUGUAGGGGAUUACAUGUUUCGAUUCGAAGAAUUGAUGCAUCACAUCCUAGCUCAUAACCCAGCU